AUACAUGCAGUCGAGCGAACUGAUUAGAAGCUUGCUUCUAUGACGUUAGCGGCGGACGGGUGAGUAACACGUGGGCAACCUGCCUGUAAGACUGGGAUAACUUCGGGAAACCGAAGCUAAUACCGGAUAGGAUCUUCUCCUUCAUGGGAGAUGAUUGAAAGAUGGUUUCGGCUAUCACUUACAGAUGGGCCCGCGGUGCAUUAGCUAGUUGGUGAGGUAACGGCUCACCAAGGCAACGAUGCAUAGCCGACCUGAGAGGGUGAUCGGCCACACUGGGACUGAGACACGGCCCAGACUCCUACGGGAGGCAGCAGUAGGGAAUCUUCCGCAAUGGACGAAAGUCUGACGGAGCAACGCCGCGUGAGUGAUGAAGGCUUUCGGGUCGUAAAACUCUGUUGUUAGGGAAGAACAAGUACAAGAGUAACUGCUUGUACCUUGACGGUACCUAACCAGAAAGCCACGGCUAACUACGUGCCAGCAGCCGCGGUAAUACGUAGGUGGCAAGCGUUAUCCGGAAUUAUUGGGCGUAAAGCGCGCGCAGGCGGUUUCUUAAGUCUGAUGUGAAAGCCCACGGCUCAACCGUGGAGGGUCAUUGGAAACUGGGGAACUUGAGUGCAGAAGAGAAAAGCGGAAUUCCACGUGUAGCGGUGAAAUGCGUAGAGAUGUGGAGGAACACCAGUGGCGAAGGCGGCUUUUUGGUCUGUAACUGACGCUGAGGCGCGAAAGCGUGGGGAGCAAACAGGAUUAGA
rnacentral:rRNA from 2 species